ACAAUGGGCGCAAGCCUGAUGCAGCCAUGCCGCGUGUAUGAAGAAGGCCUUCGGGUUGUAAAGUACUUUCAGCAGUGAGGAAGGUGGGUAUGUUAAUAGCAUAUUCAUUUGACGUUAGCUGCAGAAGAAGCACCGGCUAACUCCGUGCCAGCAGCCGCGGUAAUACGGAGGGUGCGAGCGUUAAUCGGAAUUACUGGGCGUAAAGCGCAUGCAGGUGGUUUGUUAAGUCAGAUGUGAAAGCCCGGGGCUCAACCUCGGAAUUGCAUUUGAAACUGGCAAACUAGAGUACUGUAGAGGGGGUAGAAGUUUCAGGUGUAGCGGUGAAAUGCGUAGAGAUCUGAAGGAAUACCGGUGGCGAAGGCGGCCCCCUGGACAGAUACUGACACUCAGAUGCGAAAGCGUGGGGAGCAAACAGGAUUAGAUACCCUGGUAG
rnacentral:rRNA from 1 species